CCUACGGGUGGCAGCAGUGGGGAAUAUUGCACAAUGGGGGAAACCCUGAUGCAGCGACGCCGCGUGAGUGAAGCAGUAAUUCGUUAUGUAAAGCUCUAUCAGCAGGGAAGAAAAUGACGUUACCUGUGUCAGAAGCCCCUGCUAACUACGUGCCAGAAGCCGCGGUAAUACGUAGGGGGCAAGCGUUAUCCGGAUUUACUGGGUGUAAAGGGAGCGUAGACGGCAGUGCAAGUCUGGAGUGAAAGGCGGGGGCUCAACCCCCGGACUGCUCGGGAAACUGGACGGCUGGAGUGCAGGAGAGGGAAGUGGAAGUCCUAGUGUAGCGGUGAAAUGCGUAGAUAGUAGGAGGAACACCAGUGGCGAAGGCGGCUUACUGGACUGUAACUGACGUUGAGGCUCGAAAGCGUGGGGAGCAAACAGGAUUAGAUACCCGGGUAGUC
rnacentral:rRNA from 1 species